ensembl:lncRNA
UCUGUAUGUAAUUAGUUCUUUUGUAUUUUAAUAGGGGACAGGUGUCUCCAAUUUUUUCAGCCCAUUUGUGCAUGUGUCUGGAUAUUCACUGAUGCUGAAAGGGUCAUAGACAGCUGGCUGUUAGAAAUGUGGUCUGUUAGUAAAUACAAGGUGCUACAGAGCCUCUCCACGUCUAAUGGAUCUGUUAAAGACAUUGGAGGCUUGGAAGAGGCUCUAUUCCCAGAAUUUGUUUUACGUCAUCUUCACACACCUCUUUGAAUUACUGUUCUCACCAUGCCUGCUUUAUCAGCAACAAGUAAUGCCAGCAGACUGGGGAUGCAGCUUAUUUCGGAUGUCACAGUCAAAACGCAGCCUUGAGAGUAAACAACAUCUACCAGAGCUGACAAAAAUAAGAUAUGGAAGGGGAUCUAGCCUGCUGAAGUGUUUUUUCUUCUGUGUCAAAAUGAGAUUUCAGAAGUUCCAUCAGCUCGUCGUCAGGUGUUUUUGAUCACUGAUUGUUAACAGAGGAAUCACUGUUGGGAGCCUUACAUGAAAGACGAUGCUCUUCCUUUCCCUCCAGCGGAGGAACAAGCAAAAUGUUUACAUUCUCACAGCUGUGAUGUGUUGUACUGCAUCUCAGACAGACUUAGUGGAACCAAAAGUAUAUCAAAAAGAGCUUUGACACAGUGGUAGUUCCAAUAGUGAAAAAUCUUUAUUUCAAACCCUUGUUUUACAAUUUCUAAAUCUGUUUUUAACAUUUUACAUUUGGCACAUUCCAUACAUUAUUUUUUAUUAAUUUAAAUAGAAUGUGCAUAAGAUCCUGCUGCAGACCACGUAGACUUGUUUCUGCUAAAUGAUCGGACCAUACAAUUAAAAGGAAACAUGCUGCUGCUAGAGAGUGAAAGAUACCCUGUAGUUCUAGACAGGUGGUGCUGGGGAGGCGGUGGGCUAAGAUGAGGAUGUGUAAUAUGUCCUGGUUAUAGAGGUAAAUGGUAAUGAGUAUAUGAAUUUGAUUGGCUGGGAACAUUAAAUUGAAUAACCCAAUUAGAAAACAAGUCAAGUUUCAUGGCUGAACUAUUCAUUAUAAAUAAAAUAAAAGAAAUGUAUGCAUUUAUUUAUUGUAAAAAUGUUUAGAACUAUUGUAUGUUUUCUACAGCUAGUUGGAAAGGCCGCAUUUCUUAUUUUAAUUAAAUUAAAAAAAGUUUAUUUUCAAGUGAUCCAAAAAUCCAAACAAUAAACAAAGACUUGACGAGGCAUGAACAGACUUGACGUGAACAGACUAGACUCACUGACAGCAGGUUACAACAUUAAUACACGACAAGAGACAAUGGCAAAGACAUGGCUAUUUAUACAGACAAUGAGGGUCAAAUGACAUGAACAAACCAAUGAGCAAACAGAACUGAUAAUCACAUGACAAGACAAUAAACCAAACAGAACAUGACACAAUGAACAAGAGGAACCAAUAGCAUGAAGACAAGAGGGCAAGGGAAGCAUGACACAAACAGCAAUCAAACAACAACAAAAUAAAAGACAUGAAAACAUGACAAAACCCAAAACAUAAAACAAAACCCACAUUACAAACAUAAAUGAAUAAAAGCUAUAUAAACAGACAAAAAAAAAUUAAAAUGACUAAUUACUAAUUGGAAAAUAUAAAAAC